UACGUAGGGCGCAAGCGUUAUCCGGAAUUAUUGGGCGUAAAGAGCUCGUAGGCGGUUUGUCGCGUCUGCCGUGAAAGUCCGGGGCUCAACUCCGGAUCUGCGGUGGGUACGGGCAGACUAGAGUGAUGUAGGGGAGACUGGAAUUCCUGGUGUAGCGGUGAAAUGCGCAGAUAUCAGGAGGAACACCGAUGGCAAAGGCAGGUCUCUGGGCAUUAACUGACGCUGAGGAGCGAAAGCGUGGGGAGCGAACAGG
rnacentral:rRNA from 1 species